rnacentral:rRNA from 1 species
ACACUCCUACGGGAGGCAGCAGUGGGGAAUAUUGCACAAUGGGCGCAAGCCUGAUGCAGCCAUGCCGCGUGUAUGAAGAAGGCCUUCGGGUUGUAAAGUACUUUCAGCGGGGAGGAAGGCGAUAAGGUUAAUAACCUUGUCGAUUGACGUUACCCGCAGAAGAAGCACCGGCUAACUCCGUGCCAGCAGCCGCGGUAAUACGGAGGGUGCAAGCGUUAAUCGGAAUUACUGGGCGUAAAGCGCACGCAGGCGGUCUGUCAAGUCGGAUGUGAAAUCCCCGGGCUCAACCUGGGAACUGCAUUCGAAACUGGCAGGCUAGAGUCUUGUAGAGGGGGGUAGAAUUCCAGGUGUAGCGGUGAAAUGCGUAGAGAUCUGGAGGAAUACCGGUGGCGAAGGCGGCCCCCUGGACAAAGACUGACGCUCAGGUGCGAAAGCGUGGGGAGCAAACAGGAUUAGAUACCCGAGUAGUCCCA